GUUUGGGUCCCCAGGGGUCGGGGCAGGAGAUCCCCCCGGCGCCAAGCGCGACUUGCACAGCAGCUGUCUCUGGGUGCCGGUGGAGGGGCCUGACUGACCCCUGAUGACCCUUGACCUGCGACUUCCCAACUGUGACCUCUGACCUGUCCCUCCGGCUGUGCAGAGUGGCCGCCUCUCCCAGCUUCAUCAGCGCUGCAUCCACAAGAGGGGGCUCCUGAAGAGAGGAGUCUUGUGGGGAGGGCACCUCUAGGGUGAUAAGAGGAAUGAAAAUCUUCCAGAAACCCCUAGGCAUAAUGUAGCAAGACUGGGCAUAAAGUAACAGAAACCAAACAGCGAAACGAGCUCUACAGAGACUGGACAUGAGGCAAAGCAGGAUGCCCUGGGCUUGCAAGCUGGGAAAGAGGAACGUUCCACUAAAUGAAGAAAGAGCUACGUGACUUUUGCUGAGUAGCAGCACAAAAUGACAAUAUGCUUGCUCAAGAAAUUAGGUCAAGAAGCUGACACAGAGCAGGCACCAGGCUGCAAAGGCCCCCGCGGACCACUAGAGACCCCUGAUGAAGACUCUUGGAAUAGAUUAUGGACUUCCAGAAGAGGACAGGGUGUAUGGAAAUAAUUUAUGUUUAAUACAUUAACUAAGCAGUAAAAACAAAUGAAUAUGCAAGAGGUAUAUGUAAUAAAUACCAAGAAGUGUGAAUCACGUGCAUGCUGGAUUAGAGGAAUGAUCCUCCGAGUGUCUGGCAUGCUGUAAUAAAAGUGCCUGCUUUUUAACACUUUCAAAA